UACGGAGGGAGCUAGCGUUGUUCGGAAUUACUGGGCGUAAAGCGCGCGUAGGCGGCCAACUAAGUCCGACGUGAAAUCCCAAAGCUUAACUUUGGAACUGCGUCGGAUACUGGAUGGCUUGAAUUCGGGAGAGGGAUGCAGAAUUCCAGGUGUAGCGGUGAAAUGCGUAGAUAUCUGGAGGAAUACCGGUGGCGAAGGCGGCAUCCUGGACCGACAUUGACGCUGAGGAGCGAAAGCUAGGGGAGCAAACGGG
rnacentral:rRNA from 1 species